UAAAAUCUUUAAUCUUUGUUGUGAUACUAAAAACUACAAAAGAAAGUCGAAAUUUCCUUUUCUGGUAAAGGCACUUUUCCUACCCUGAACAAUGAGAACUACGCCUUAAGAAAAAUUAACUAAGCUGCCUGUCGGCAUCAUCAACGGACAGGAUUGGAAAAGAAAAUAACGACAAAAUAUACAAAAAACCCAGCAAGAAGAAUCCCACCAUAGAUAUAAGUUUGUGAAGAGUGGACCGGAUAUUUGUACUCAAUUUCACAGCACUUCAUUUUCUCUCUCUCACUUGCCAAAACAUGAUCCACAUACUGCUGUGUAAACAUAGAGCUCUGAAGAAUUUCUGAACUAUUCAAAUGUGCAUCUUGUAACUGGUGAUCAUAUAACAAAGAAGACAAAUCUACAAGCUGUUCCUCAAGCCCAUCAAGGUAUUUCUCCAACCUGUCAACUAAUUCAUGCGGAAAAGGUUCAGGCAAGUUGGUUGUUUUCUUGUAGAAUUUCUCUAACCACAGUUCAGUGGUCGUUUUGUUUUUCUUGCCUUUCACAGGCUCGCCAAGAGGGGUUUUCAGAUAUUCUGCAGCAAAUGCUUGCACAGCCUCUGAAGUAUCACGAAUUCUACGAAGAGCAGAAUCCACACGUGCAUAUAUUGUGUUCCUCAAGGCAACAUCCUUCAGCAAUUUACUGAUUUUCGAAGUAUUAGAGAAUGGCCCAAAUGGAUGACAACCAGCUGCCCAGAGCCAAUUUACAAUUGGCCUUUCAUGUACAUGAGAUGCCUUCUCAUAUGGUGCACUCACCCCACCAACAGCAGAAGCGAGCCCCGCCAAUAUGUGCCGCUGUGCUAGAGAUGGAAGGGCAUGCCUUCUCUCUGUUUCUGAUACAUAACUCAAAGGAAUCUUUUCAUGUUGAUGCUGAAGUACAAUGACAACAUCAUUGCUUGUCCAAACAAGGCUUUCGUCUUCCAUCAUAAGGUGUGGGUCCACAUCAGCCAAUGAUAGCACAAAGACUGGGAUAAUUCUUGUUCCAUAAGUGCGGUGUAGAUCCCCUUGUUUCUUAUGUUCAUUCUGUUUCUUAUUCUUCUUCUUCUUCUUCUCCUUGCCAUGUCUUGAAUCAUAACUAGCCCAUAGAGGUUUAUGCUUAAGAAUGGAGUCAUCUGAACCAUCAGAUUCAUCCAUCCAAUUCUGGCGGAGAAAAAAUUUACUUGAAAGAGAUGGGUCAGCCAACUCAACUAAACCUGCAGCAAGCACAUCAGCAGAACGUUCCAUCUCCUCCUUAAGUAUAGCGCCAUCAAGAUAAGUCUUGGUAUGCACAUGGAAUCGCCCAUCCUUUUUAGUUUCUUGCAAAGAAUGACCUCGCAUUGCUUUUGAAACAGCAAUAGCCAACUUCUCAUGACGAUGUAAUGCAUGUGAACCACCUACAAUCACAACUUCUUGUCCAUCAUGAACCAUCCUCUUCACCUCUGAUUCAAUUUCUUCAAUGUUUAUGCUGUAAUUGUGACCCUUCUCCAUAACAUUAUAUCUAUUAUGGUUUUGAAGCACAAUGAUAGGUAUUAGCAACCUUGUUGCCAGGUCAACAGUCUCAAACCUAACAUCUGGAGCUAUAACAUGCUCAACUGUGGUUGCUAUCAAAGCAGCAAGUUGUCCAACAAAGAUAUCAUGGGACACAUGAUCACUAAUAGCAUUUACUCCUAUUGGAAACAUUAUGUUCCGUAUCCGUGGCAAUGUUCUAGAACUGACACUUCCCUCUUCAGUUUCAAUCUUUCCAUAUGUGCAAGGUCCUGCUGACAGGUCGAUCACAACAAAUCUGUCUGAACUCAGCCAAACUUGAGUAGCUCCUCCUCCAUUAUAUCGAUAUCGGUAAACGUAGUUUCCCUCUUGUUUACUAAUGUCCUCAUUGGUCAACGUGGUGAUUUUCCCAUACAUUAAGCUAUCAAGAUUAAUUUCCUUGUUUCUGGGGUCCAUUCUUACCUUAUCAAAAUUGACAAUAAAAAUUGCAUUGGGAACAGGCCUAUCAUUCUCCGCAGCAGUAUACCUCAUAUUCUCCAUGUCAAAUAUGUAAGAAUACAACUUGUGAAACACAGGCUCCACAACUGUUGCCUCCACCUCAAACAGCGGCACCUCCCUUCCAAAAUCAGUCUCUCUCGCAGUCCCAGCAGGAACCAUAGCCUCCUUCAGCGCCUUCUCGAGUGUAAUCAGUUCCGGUUGCCCAGCAGGAAAUGCGUUAUAAACAACAUGAUGUUCAAUAUCGAGAGGCUCGCCGGUCUCUAGGCAUGAAGGUCUGUGAGAUGGAAAACUAGUUCUCAGAAAUUCUUCCAACUUGUGCGUAUCUAAGGUGAACCUAUAGCCUCCAUCCCCAUUAAAUCCAAUGAGCACCACAUUCACCUCCAAUGGUACCUGGAACGGAACCUCCGCUCGAGUGUGGAGCAUCCGGCGAACAUCUGAACGAACGCUGUCUCUGACAUCGUGAAAUGCGCCGUGAUGCCACUGAGGAUGCCCUGGGUCUCUCCGAAAGGCCUGAGGUGCUGAGUUGGACCGAGUCACGAGCAGAAUCACCGUGAGAAUCGCCUCGUAAUAUAGAAAUAGAAAGCCUGAAUUUGAUUUCCUAGACAUAAUUAAAGUAGGAAUAAGCAGGAAUUGUUAACUUGGAAGAAGGGAAAAUGAUUCAUGAAGCAUCAGUAGUUUAGAUCGCUCGUUGAGACUCUCUGGUGCGAUUCUCUUCCAGGCUAGGUCUUCCGCGAAAGAACUCCAUUGGACUGAUACAAUUCCCCAAUUGCG
rnacentral:misc_RNA from 1 species